UUAAGUUCAGCGGGUAUUCCUACCUGAUCCGAGGUCAACCUUGUUAUAAAACACAUAGUUAGAGACCAGACCGGCCGGCCACUUCAAUGCGUGCUUAAAAAGCUCGUUGCAUCUAAGGUCCAACACGACUGUCAUUGUCUUUGGGACCCGUCCAUGACGACGAGGUCCAACUACAAGCCAGGCUUGAGGGUUGAUAAUGA
rnacentral:misc_RNA from 1 species